AGUGAACGCUGGCGGUAGGCCUAACACAUGCAAGUCGAACGGCAGCACAGUAAGAGCUUGCUCUUACGGGUGGCGAGUGGCGGACGGGUGAGGAAUACAUCGGAAUCUACUUUUUCGUGGGGGAUAACGUAGGGAAACUUACGCUAAUACCGCAUACGACCUACGGGUGAAAGCAGGGGAUCUUCGGACCUUGCGCGAUUGAAUGAGCCGAUGUCGGAUUAGCUAGUUGGCGGGGUAAAGGCCCACCAAGGCGACGAUCCGUAGCUGGUCUGAGAGGAUGAUCAGCCACACUGGAACUGAGACACGGUCCAGACUCCUACGGGAGGCAGCAGUGGGGAAUAUUGGACAAUGGGCGGAAGCCUGAUACAGCCAUACCGCGUGGGUGAAGAAGGCCUUCGGGUUGUAAAGCCCUUUUGUUGGGAAAGAAAAGCAGCAGGUUAAUACCCCGCUGUUCUGACGGUACCCAAAGAAUAAGCACCGGCUAACUUCGUG
rnacentral:rRNA from 1 species